rnacentral:rRNA from 1 species
UGUAAGCGUAUACCAAAGUUGUUGCAGUUAAAACGCUCGUAGUCGGAAUUUGGCAGUUCCGGAUGUGUGCACGUCGUGUGCGCACUUCGCGGGGAUUGCUUUUGUGGUCUUGCGUAGGAUGAGGCACUUUUAUUAGUGAACGUUCUCACGCAACCACUUUUUACUGUGAGAAAAUCAGAGUGCUCAAAGCAGGCAUUUGCCGUGAAUGUAUUAGCAUGGAAUAAUAGAAUAGGACUUGGUUCUAUUUUGUUGGUUUGUUGGGACUGAGUAAUGAUUAAGAGGGACAGUUGGGGGCAUUUGUAUUUCGGUGCUAGAGGUGAAAUUCUUAGAUUACCGAAAGACAAACUGCUGCGAAAGCGUCUGCCAAGGAUGUUUUCAUUGA